rnacentral:rRNA from 1 species
GAUGAACGCUGGCGGCGUGCUUAACACAUGCAAGUCGAACGGAAAGGCCCAAGCUUGCUUGGGUACUCGAGUGGCGAACGGGUGAGUAACACGUGGGUGAUCUGCCCUGCACUUCGGGAUAAGCCUGGGAAACUGGGUCUAAUACCGGAUAGGACCACAUUUUGGAUGGUGUGGUGGAAAGUUUUUCGGUGUGGGAUGAGCUCGCGGCCUAUCAGCUUGUUGGUGGGGUAAUGGCCUACCAAGGCGUCGACGGGUAGCCGGCCUGAGAGGGUGUACGGCCACAUUGGGACUGAGAUACGGCCCAGACUCCGACGGGAGGCAGCAGUGGGGAAUAUUGCACAAUGGGCGCAAGCCUGAUGCAGCGACGCCGCGUGGGGGAUGACGGCCUUCGGGUUGUAAACUCCUUUCGCUAGGGACGAAGCGUUAUGCGACGGUACCUGGAGAAGAAGCACCGGCUAACUACGUG